rnacentral:rRNA from 1 species
AACGGCCAUACCAUGCUGAAUAUACAGGUUCUCGUUUAAAUCAACGAAGUCAAGCACCAUUGGGCGCGGUCAGUACUUGGGUGGGUGACCACCUGGGAACACCGCGUGCCGUU